UGCCCCGCCCACCAAUCAUCAACAACACUGGAGGAGCAACAAAUAAAAAAGCCCAGUUGAAUUCGGUUGACAUAAAAGAAAUGAUUCAGCAGGAUGAAUUACAAGGCAAGACUGGGAGGGCUGACAUCCUACCUCCAAAGCCUCACAGCAAAGCUCCUAUUACAGGUUAGACAGUGAAAGGUCAGAUCACCUCACCUGUGACAAUGAGGGACUACAUGCUGUGUUUCAACUAAAAGGCUAAAUAUCAGGUGACUGUCUGUGACUCCACUGUUUCUGUGUUUACUGGGUGGGGGGUGCAUAAAGACACUGGGUUACAGCAUUUAAGGAAGACAACUGAUACGUUUUGUGUUAUAUUAAGGUUCAAAAAUGUUGGAAAAAAAGGGACAAAUUAACUACUUUAAAGCUGCACUAAUCAAUCAUUUUAAAUUAACAACGGGCCAAAUUGCUGUGUAAUUUGACUCAUUACUCUCUCACGGUGACAAACCCACAAGAAUUAUCAGUCAGCUCUGCAGUUUCCGUCAGCUCUAUGGAGCUUUUUAGCAUGUUCGGACUCACUGUUUUGAUUUAACCAAUCGCUUUUUUUCCUUCAGUCUCACCAGCAGCUCACUGUUUUUGUGUGAAAAAGCUCCUAUAAAACCACUGGUUUCAGCAUAACCAGGCCCAUCCCAAAACAGCAGACGCACAAACUUAGCGACAAGCUGUGCAGACAACCUCAUGCAGCUUGCUGUGGAAACAUCAACACUACUAUGAUUUUUAUUAACGAGUCUGGUUGCCGCCUCGAGGAUGUGACAGGCUGAGACCAUAUGAAUCAACUAACACCUUCUGACCGGGGUGCACCUGAGGGCUGCAGGGACAGCAGGGAUACACCGAGAAUCCCUGGAGGAUCCACAUGUUGCCUCAAAUGUGGGAAAACCUCCCUGCCUUAACACAACUAUUUAAUCGCCGCAUGCAUUUGAUUUAUUUAAAGCCCUGCCAUCAAAUGACAGACAUGGAUUUGCAAAUACAGCCGUCAUUUUUUCAGACCUGGGCAAACAACAGCAAGUAGCCUAACCUAACAAUUGCCUUCCCAAACAGACGUAAUGUUAUCAGCGUUUCCAGUUCAAUAAACUGUGGCCCCCGAUACGCCUCAUAAAUGGAAAGAACGUCACGCAAAACUCAAUGUCAUCCUUCAGCUAUUUAAUAUAUCCAGCUUCACUGGGAAG